CCUGACGACCAUAGCAAGGUGGUCCCACUCCUUCCCAUCCCGAACAGGACAGUGAAACGCCUUUGCGCCGAUGAUAGUGGACGGACGUCUGUGAAAGUAGGUCAUUGUCAGGCUAUCUACACCCAAAACCCCCGACCGGAAAACCGGCCGGGGGUUUUGUCUUUGGUGCUCCUGUU
rnacentral:rRNA from 1 species